GACGAACGCUGGCGGCGUGCUUAACACAUGCAAGUCGAGGGCACUUUGGGGGCAACCCUGGAGUGACCGGCGAACGGGUGCGUAACACGUGAGCGACCUUGCCUCGUGGUGGGGAUAGCCGGCCCAACGGCCGGGUAAUACCGCAUAUGGUGCUGACUCCGCAUGGAGACGGCAGCAAAGCCCUGGAGCAAUCCAGUGGCGCCACGAGGGGGGC
rnacentral:rRNA from 1 species